CACACACACACACACACACACACAGGUGUAAACACAAACAGGUAAACACACACACACACACAGGUAAACACAUACAGGUAAACACACACAGGUGUAUACACACAGGUAAACACACACAGGUGUAAACACAAACAGGUAAACACACACACACACAGGUAAACACAUACAGGUAAACACACACACACACAGGUAAACACAUACAGGUAAACACACACACACACAGGUAAACACAUACAGGUAAACACACACAGGUGUAUACACACAGGUAAACACACACAGGUGUAAACACAAACAGGUAAACACACACACACACACAGGU